GGCCACGUCGACCCGCACAAGCAGUGGAGUAUGUGGUUUAAUUCGAAGCAACGCGAAGAACCUUACCAGGCCUUGACAUCCCGAUGACCGCUCUAGAGAUAGGGCUUCUCUUUCGGAGCAUCGGUGACAGGUGGUGCAUGGUUGUCGUCAGCUCGUGUCGUGAGAUGUUGGGUUAAGUCCCGCAACGAGCGCAACCCUUACGGUUAGUUGAUACGCAAGAUCACUCUAGCCGGACUGCCGUUGACAAAACGGAGGAAGGUGGGGACGACGUCAAAUCAUCAUGCCCCUUAUGGCCUGGGCUACACACGUACUACAAUGGCAGUCAUACAGAGGGAAGCAAUACCGCGAGGUGGAGCAAAUCCCUAAAAGCUGUCCCAGUUCAGAUUGCAGGCUGCAACCCGCCUGCAUGAAGUCGGAAUUGCUAGUAAUCGCGGAUCAGCAUGCCGCGGUGAAUACGUUCCCGGGCCUUGUACACAC
rnacentral:rRNA from 1 species